GCCAUUGCAAUUCUAGCUGUGGAUAGACCUGUGAACUUGGCAAUUUCAUCGUCAGCUGGAAAUUUGCCAUGGCUCCUACUGAGAGUUUUUCGAGCUUUAUGUAUUUGAUUUAUUACUUUGCAUAUAGUGAAGGGAAUUCGAACCCCUCUAGCAUGUUGUGCCACCAAUUUUGACAAUGAUUUUCGUAUCCAAUACUGAACGUAAG
rnacentral:misc_RNA from 1 species